UAGAGAUAAAAGGGAAAGCUUUCACCUAUCUGGAACUAAGUCCCACAGGAACCUUGUUUUGUGUAAAUGAAAUUGCCAAACAUCACCUCUGGGACCUGAGCAAGGAGACCUUAGUAAGAGGGGCGGGGAGGUUAGGGUACAGGAAAAGUGCUCUAGAGAAUUUUGUUUGAGAUUGUGGGUAAUUAGGUUUCUGUAACUGUUUCUUCUUUCCCAGUACAACAGAGACUUGUGUUAAGGCUUAACAUCUGGAAAGAGAGGCUGUUCUAGGGUAGUAGGCAACUACCAUUUCACUUUCUGAACAUUGUGGUCAUUGCAUUGUGGGUCUUCAUGAGAAUGAAAUCCCAGUCAAGCUGGACAUGGGUGAAGCCCUAGGGAGCAGGGCAGCCAUACAAGAGCAAUCACCAAAUCAUCUGAGUAUGAAUCAUCUUGAGGAACUUUCACAAGACUGUAUGCAUCUUACUUCCCCAUCAGUUAAACAACUUUGAAAGAUUGGCCUUUGGGAGAAGAAUGCCACUUACUUCCCCAAUACUGGGAGAAGGAAGUAGAGAUGUCUAGUUACUUACUAAAUCUCUGCUGCUUCUUAGAGAAGCUAAACUCCCAGGUAUGUAGUGCUCUCACUUUCUCUCUCUGUCUCUGUCUUGUUCUCUCUCUCUCUCUCUGUCAGCUCUCUCUCUCUCUCUCUCUCUCUCUCUCUCACUCUCUCUCUCUCUCACACACACACACACACACACACACACACACACACACACACACACACACGGUUUUCUUCCUAGAGGGGUGGUAAGAUCUGUAAAAAUUAAUUAAAUUACCUGUUACUUUUGUUUCUCUUCAUAGUUCACAGCAUCUUUUCACUGGUGUGAUCUCAUUUGACACCGAAAGCUAGCUCUCAUGGUGGGUGGGACUAUUACUGAUGGCUGCCAUUGUACGUUAGAGGAAACUCAGACUCAGAGGUUAAAUGACUUGGCUUAGGUCCCCACAUAGAUCUAAGACAGAGGCAAGGUCUUUGAACUCUGCAUUCAUUCUGAACACCUUGUCAUUCUCUCUGGAAGAUAUCAGCAUUCUAGAGGCACCUGUAUUUAAAGACCACCUGUCAGUGACAGAAUUUCCAUACAAACUUUUCAAGACCCAUAUACAUAUCUGGAUUUCCUCUCAAUAUCUCACAUUUUAAAACUACUAUUUGUCACCAUAGCCUGCAGUAUGGUUAAAACCUGGCUUGCUAUUGUUAAUAAUUAUGCAGUGUCUUUGUUUCCUCCAAGGAGACUCAAAAUGGAAGCUAGCAGGCUGGGAACUUGUCCUUCACUGUGCUUGGGUCGUUAGCAGCUAUUAAACACAUGGAGCUUGACUCCCAUCGCCCUUUAGUUCUCAGGCUCCCUCCCUGUUGUUUUUUCAGCAAGAGCUUCAAGUAUUCUAUUGGUAUUAGGAGAGUUCUUGAAAAACAUCCUAUGGUGGUACAAAUUUUUUUCUAAGGAAGGCAUCCUAUAAGCAGUAAAUCUGAACAGCAGCACCUGGAUUCCUGACCAGGUGGAAGGUGCUAAACUUGCCUAAGGCUUAAACAUAUACCUGUCCUGGGCCCAAUUGCAGAUAUUGUUUUUUUUUUUCAUUUCAUAAUGCUUUAUUAUUUGCCUGGGAACCACUGCGCUUAAGAUUUAGUGUAUUUGGGUUCUUUAUAGGAGACAGAAAGACAACUACAUGUACAUAAAAUCUCAGACAGAAUAUGAAAAAAGCUCAUCAAAGGAGAAACUAAUUCCAAUCCAGUGGCCUUCUUUUUUUUUAAUAUGAAAUUUAUUGUCAAAUUGGUUUCCAUAUAACACCCAGUGCUCAUCCCAACAGGUGCCCUCCUCCAUACCCAUCAUCCACUGUCC